rnacentral:rRNA from 1 species
AUUGAACGCUGGCGGCAUGCCUUACACAUGCAAGUCGAACGGCAGCAUGAUCUAGCUUGCUAGAUUGAUGGCGAGUGGCGAACGGGUGAGUAAUACAUCGGAACGUGCCCUGUAGUGGGGGAUAACUAGUCGAAAGAUUAGCUAAUACCGCAUACGACCUGAGGGUGAAAGUGGGGGACCGCAAGGCCUCAUGCUAUAGGAGCGGCCGAUGUCUGAUUAGCUAGUUAGUGAGGUAAAGGCUCACCAAGGCGACGAUCAGUAGCUGGUCUGAGAGGACGAUCAGCCACACUGGGACUGAGACACGGCCCAGACUCCUACGGGAGGCAGCAGUGGGGAAUUUUGGACAAUGGGGGCAACCCUGAUCCAGCAAUGCCGCGUGUGUGAAGAAGGCCUUCGGGUUGUAAAGCACUUUUGUCCGGAAAGAAAUCGCACUUACUAAUAUUAGGUGUGGAUGACGGUACCGGAAGAAUUAGGACCGGCUAACUACGUGCCAGCCGCCGCGGUAAAAC